rnacentral:rRNA from 1 species
CCUACGGGCGGCAGCAGUGAGGAAUAUUGGUCAAUGGCCGAGAGGCUGAACCAGCCAAGUCGCGUGAGGGAAGACGGCCCUACGGGUUGUAAACCUCUUUUGUCGGGGAGCAAAGCGAACCACGUGUGGUUCAUUGAGAGUACCCGAAGAAAAAGCAGCGGCUAACUCCGUUCCAGCAGCCGCGGUAAUAAGGAGGAUGCGAGCGUUAUCCGGAUUUGGUGGGUUUAAAGGGUGCGCAGGCGGAGGUGCAAGUCAGCGGUCAAAUUGCGGGGCUCAACCCCGUACUGCCGUUGAAACUGCAUCCCUUGAGUGCGCGAGAAGUAUGCGGAAUGCGUGGUGUAGCGGUGAAAUGCAUAGAUAUCACGCAGAACUCCGAUUGCGAAGGCAGCAUACCGGCGCGCAACUGACGCUCAUGCACGAAAGCGUGGGUAUCGAACAGGAUUAGAUACCCCAGUAGUC